rnacentral:rRNA from 1 species
AUGUAUACGACGGUACCAACACUCUAUGAGGCUUUUGAGAAGUGGUCUGAGGAUGUGAAAGAUGCGGCCCUUCAGAAGGCCGUGGAGAUGAACCUGUUUGGCAUGGGCGAUCAUUUUAUCCGGCCACAGGCUGUCCGCCCAGCCGCAGAGGCCAUACUCAAGAACUCGAAACAGCUUAGGGCAGAGCUUGCAAAGUAUAUGAAGACAUUGUCAAAGAUUGAAGUCAACACACCUGAGGGACAAUCUGUUCUGAAAGAGGUGAAGGAUGUGGUCUCUAAAAUGGAAAGUGAUCUCGCCAGCUAUUUGAAAUCUGCAGAGAAGGCGUCUCCUGAGUCCCCUCCACCCGUCUCAUUCUUAGCUGAGUUCACAGAGAAGGUCAAGAAGCUGAACAACAGUGAGCUAUCAAAGGCUUUGAAGGAAAUUGAAGAACUUGCUAAAACUGCUAAUAUACCAUUUAAGGUAUACGGCCAAUACAAGGAAAUGGAGGAAGUCGUUGGUUCUCUGUCUGCCACAGUGGCUGCCUAUUUGGCCUCUGUGAUGGGCAACACCCCUGCCCCAGAGCAGGAGACAAAGGUUCCAACACCUGCCGAGGAACUGGCUGCACCUAAUCCAACUGAGCUGCCGGAACAAUGCCAAGUGAAGCCUGCGCUUAAGGUCCCGUCUUUUGAAAAGCUUGGGAAGACUGCCAUCGAUAUCCUCUAUGGUGGUUACAAUGAGCUCCCUUGGGCGGCUGAUGCUACAUUCUGCUUGAAGUCGUCGGAAAGAUUGUUUCCUGUGAUGCGUACCACUAUAAGUUCCUCCCAGGCAGUGACGACAAGCAUCAAGGCGGUCGACUUUCUUGGAAAUGGCGUGCAAGGGUCGCUGUUGUUCAUCUAUCCUUUCUCGGAUACUUCCAUGGCAAAGCUGCGUUAUGCUUAUGAGAAGGCCCUUCUUGGUGUUCGGGUUGGGCUCCAUGCCAGCCCGGAGGUUUACUUGUCUGCCAUGGUUGGAACAGGCUUUGGCGUCGAUGGUGGGUUUGAGAUGUUGUUUAGCACCAAGACUGGCCUGGUUAAAGGAUUUGAUCUCGGGGUGAACUGCCUCAGGAGUCAAUGGGGGAAUGCAUCUGUUUCUGCGAGCUUUGUUUUGGACCUUGAGGGUGAGAAGAAGAAGAAGCUGAGAAAGAUCCGGGCUCUCUACUCCAAGGAGGUCGAUCCAAGGUUCAGUUUUGCUGCCGAUGUGGCAUUUGAUGCCGAGAAAGGCAAGGUGCUGGCAACGGGUGGCGUCGCGCUGCGCGUCGACGAGAAAGUGCUUGUGAAGGGGAGGGUCAGCUCCAACGGUUCAGUUGCUGCACUUGUUGAGGUUGCAGGGGAAGGGCGUGCCAAGCUGAAGGCCUCUGCCCAUGCUGAUCUGUACGAGGUGAGCAAGGGACCCAAGGUUGGCUUCUCCGUCAGUUUCAAGUGA